ACGGGUGAGUAAUGCCUAGGAAUCUGCCUGGUAGUGGGGGACAACGUUUCGAAAGGAACGCUAAUACCGCAUACGUCCUACGGGAGAAAGCAGGGGACCUUCGGGCCUUGCGCUAUCAGAUGAGCCUAGGUCGGAUUAGCUAGUUGGUGAGGUAAUGGCUCACCAAGGCUACGAUCCGUGACUGGUCUGAGAGGAUGAUCAGUCACACUGGAACUGAGACACGGUCCAGACUCCUACGGGAGGCAGCAGUGGGGAAUAUUGGACAAUGGGCGAAAGCCUGAUCCAGCCAUGCCGCGUGUGUGAAGAAGGUCUUCGGAUUGUAAAGCACUUUAAGUUGGGAGGAAGGGUUGUAGAUUAAUACUCUGCAAUUUUGACGUUACCGACAGAAUAAGCACCGGCUAACUCUGUGCCAGCAGCCGCGGUAAUACAGAGGGUGCAAGCGUUAAUCGGAAUUACUGGGCGUAAAGCGCGCGUAGGUGGUUCGUUAAGUUGGAUGUGAAAUCCCCGGGCUCAACCUGGGAACUGCAUCCAAAACUGGCGAGCUAGAGUAUGGUAGAGGGUGGUGGAAUUUCCUGUGUAGCGG
rnacentral:rRNA from 1 species